UGGGGAAUUUUGGACAAUGGGCGCAAGCCUGAUCCAGCAAUGCCGCGUGCAGGAUGAAGGCCUUCGGGUUGUAAACCGCUUUUGUCAGGGAAGAAACGAGUUUCUCUAAUACAGAGACUUAAUGACGGUACCUGAAGAAUAAGCACCGGCUAACUACGUGCCAGCAGCCGCGGUAAUACGUAGGGUGCGAGCGUUAAUCGGAAUUACUGGGCGUAAAGCGUGCGCAGGCGGUUAUAUAAGACAGAUGUGAAAUCCCCGGGCUCAACCUGGGACCUGCAUUUGUGACUGUAUAGCUAGAGUACGGUAGAGGGGGAUGGAACUCCGCGUGUAGCAGUGAAAUGCGUAGAUAUGCGGAGGAACACCGAUGGCGAAGGCAAUCCCCUGGACCUGUACUGACGCUCAUGCACGAAAGCGUGGGUAACGAACA
rnacentral:rRNA from 1 species